GCAGCACUGCGAGGCAUGUGCAAGUGCGUUACUUUUGAGCUAAUGCUUUUAACAUGGGGGACCGAUUGACAUUCCGGUGUGCAGGCUCUGUUGGCCCGCGACGGCGCGGAAUGGCAGAGAAGCCUAAAGGGAUACGUUGGACCUCCGCCCGUAUUACGCGGGUUCAAAAGUAGUUCACCCACGGUCAAGCGGUCUGCU
rnacentral:other from 1 species